CAGAUUGAACGCUAGCGGGAUGCUUUACACAUGCAAGUCGAACGGCAGCGCGGACUUCGGUCUGGCGGCGAGUGGCGAACGGGUGAGUAAUAUAUCGGAGCGUGCCCAGUAGCGGGGGAUAACGUACGCGAAAGCGUGGCUAAUACCGCAUACGCCCGUACGGGGGAAAGGGGGGAUCG
rnacentral:rRNA from 1 species